UGAUAACUAGUCCAACACAAGACAGCUGAUUUCGACUCAGCCAAUCGUGACUAACUUCACGGUUAUCAA
rnacentral:tRNA from 1 species